rnacentral:rRNA from 1 species
UACGUAGGGUCCGAGCGUUGUCCGGAUUUAUUGGGCGUAAAGAGCUCGUAGGCGGUUCCGUAAGUCAGAUGUGAAAACUCAGGGCUCAACCCGGAGACGCCAUCUGAUACUGCGGUGACUGGAGUCUGGUAGGGGAACACGGAAUUCCUGGUGUAGCGGUGAAAUGCGCAGAUAUCAGGAGGAACACCAAUAGCGAAGGCAGCUCGCUGGGACGGUACUGACGCUAAGGCGCGAAAGCGUGGGGAGCGAACAGG